GACGAACGCUGGCGGCGUGCUUAACACAUGCAAGUCGAGCGGUAAGGCCCUUUCGGGGGUACACGAGCGGCGAACGGGUGAGUAACACGUGGGUGACCUGCCUUUAGCUCUGGGAUAAGCCUGGGAAACUGGGUCUAAUACCGGAUACGACUCCGCGGUGCAUGCUGUGGGGUGGAAAGCCUUGUGCGGCUGGAGAUGGGCCCGCGGCCUAUCAGCUUGUUGGUGGGGUGAUGGCCUACCAAGGCGACGACGGGUAGCCGGCCUGAGAGGGCGACCGGCCACACUGGGACUGAGACACGGCCCAGACUCCUACGGGAGGCAGCAGUGGGGAAUCUUGCGCAAUGGGCGAAAGCCUGACGCAGCGACGCCGCGUGA
rnacentral:rRNA from 1 species